CUUCCUCCUCGCAGAUCUCGCAGUAAAUAAUGCCUUGACAAUCGAAAGGAGACUUUUUCAAGGGAAUGGGGUGAGGAUCCCAUCUAUGUCUGACCUCACUUGGAUAUUGUGCGCAAUUUAUAUGAAUUCUAAAACUGUUGCAGGUUUCACACAUGAAUUCCAUUUGCGAAAAGAUACCCUCGUCACAUGCGUUGCACCGAAAGUACUCGGAUGGUGCAUAUUGUUGAACUAGGGGGUGCUUGUGGAAGGCAUGUUUGAUCUUGGUAGGUAGAAAAGCACAACCAGUAUCAACCGUGAUAUCACAAGUCUCGCACAGAUAACAGAAUCCAUUGGUCAACAAGUGACAAGUGUCACAUACGACAUGGUUAAACAAAUUAUCAACUCUAUGCUUUGAGAGCGAAUGUUCCGGGUGGCGUGGGCAUUCUCCUACAGGCAACUCUGGUGGCAGCUCGGCACAAACUCUGUGAAGAAAGAUACUGCAUCCAAUACAGCCAUAAAAUGGAUGGGCAGUCGAGACGGGUUUUACACACCCAUCGCAAAGAAUUUCAUCAUCAUUAUUCUUAAAACUACUUUGAUCAAAUUCUUCCAGAAGGAGUAAUGCAUGCUCCCUAUGGCUCUCGUGGUAGAUUAAGUGAUCAGGCGUUGUUUCUAUGAUCAUUUUUUCAGUACCUUCUUCUUCGCCUAGAUUAAUAAUAUUGGUCUUGCCAAUAUGGUCUGUUAUUAGAUCCAAUAACGAUUCCUUAUUAUCCACCGGAAAGUGUAUCAAAUUAG
rnacentral:lncRNA from 1 species